UACGGAGGAUGCAAGCGUUAUCCGGAAUGAUUGGGCGUAAAGCGUCCGCAGGUGGCAAUGUAAGUCUGCUGUUAAAGAGUCUAGCUCAACUAGAUAAGAGCAGUGGAAACUACAUAGCUAGAGUACGUUCGGGGCAGAGGGAAUUCCUGGUGUAGCGGUGAAAUGCGUAGAGAUCAGGAAGAACACCGGUGGCGAAGGCGCUCUGCUAGGCCGUAACUGACACUGAGGGACGAAAGCUAGGGGGAGCGAAUGGG
rnacentral:rRNA from 1 species